rnacentral:lncRNA from 1 species
UUAUGUUUAUAUUAUUAUAAUAAGAUGCAUUUGCCUCAAUUGACGCAAAAGCCAUUGCAUUGCACAAACUUAAGGUUCCCUCAGUUUCGGUUUGCGUUAUUUGCCUAAAUGAUGCAUUGUGGUGCAUUACAAUGAGUUCUUUAAUUUUGUCAAUCACAUUUUUGUUGUCAAUUUAAUGUGAACGACGUUUUAAUACCCUAUAAUCCUAUAUUCUAAACACACUCUUAAACUCAUAAAAUAUCUGUUAAUACAUAUAAACAGGUGUAUCUAUUCUCACAAAUAGUUAUGGAAGUAACUAGCCUACUAGUGUAGCGUUACUUGUUGGGUGAAGGGGAUUUAUAUCAAAUUUCAAAUCUUGCUACAUGAUAAUUUAAUACAAUACCUUCAAACUAACAUUAAGUAUUAAUGGAUGAAUACGACUUUAAUUAGGAUGGACGAUGUUAAAAGACUAGUACUUAAAAAGUAGAGUAAUUUUUUGUUUUUAAUGCACUUCAACCGAUAUACAACCCAAAAUCUAGUCCUUACAAUUUGCUAUGCAGUUCAUAAAUACAAACUAGAAUUAAUCCUUACAAAUUACUCACAAAAAUUUUAUAAAUUUAAAAGGAUAAUAGUUUCACCCUAAAAUCAAUAGAAAGGAGUCUGUUAGAAUUCGCACCCAAACUCCCAAAUUUAACUUGGGAGAUUCGAACCAAUAAGACUAAACUUUCUCUAGCUUAGAAAGUAGAGUAUUACUCCUAUGGUGCAUUUACUAAACAAAAAUUAAAAUAGACUGGAAUCAGUAUGAGAUAGAAUCAGGAUAAAGAAUUAGAAUUAGAAUAAGUUAGGAAUCGAGAUCGGAAUGAACUGCAUUUCUAUUGAUACGAUUACUUUAUUUUGAAAUCAGAAUAGACUGUUAUAAAUUAUUAAAAUGUCCUUCGUUAAUUGUUGUCCAUAUUAUUAUAUGUAUGUAUAAUAAUAAUAAUAAUAAUAAGAAGAGUAAAAAUAAAAUAAAAUCAACAAUAAUAAUAAUAAUAAAGAUGACAAUAAUAUUAAUUAAAACAAUAAAAUUAAAAAAUUUUAAUAAUGAUGAUGAUGAUGAAAUUAAUGCCGAUGACGAAGACAACAACAACAAUAAUAAUAAUUACUACUACUAUUACUAACACUAUUGUUACUAUUACUGUUACUAUUACUGUUACUAUUACUAAUAAUAGUAAAGGACAUAUUUACAAAUAAUACAAAAAUAUUGGGUGUUUUUAUAAAUUCUAGAGGGAUUAAAAUGUAAAUGAGAGAACUUAAUUGAAGACAAUUUGGAUAUCAUAAAAUCUUCAUGGGGUAAAAUAAAUAAUUCAAGAAAUCAGAUUUUAAUGCACAAUCUCCUCUUGAGAAUCAGACCUAUAAGGAUAUUUCUAAAUUUGUGAGCCUCACGUGAUUUUAAUUCCGAUUUCAAAUCUCAGUUUUACAAAUAAAUAUUGUCAACAAUUUCGAUUUUAGAUUCAAAUUUCCGAAUCCAGAAAAUGAACACAUCAUGACUUUCUACACAGAACGUGAGAGAAGAAUAUCGGCACAUUUUUUUUCAGUUAAAAUUUAAAAGAGGUAUUUGGACUAAGAGAAGCGUACAAUUUCUAGAAGGACCUAGAUACCGACAAGCGGCUCGCGGACCCACCGUAUUUCAUACGGUAGUACAAGAAGGCAGAAGCAAUGGCUUUCUUUGCUCGUGUCCUGUCUCCUGUAUAGUCGGUUAAUUUUUGGCCAUUAAAAUAAAAUAUUAUAAGAAAGAUUUAAAGUCAAUAGAAUAACAUCAUGACGAAAAUAAUAAUAUGACCAAUAUGACCAAUAUGAUUGUGCUGUGUGUUAUAAUAAUAUUAUAAUAUUUAAUAAUAUUUUAUUUUCUAUGUUAAGAGUAUGUCGAUGAUGUUCAAAUGUAAGUAUCCCUCAAAUAAAAUUAAAAUGCGUUAUUUUCGCUUACUCAAAACAGGGCUAACCCCCAACGUAUAAAGAAAAAAAAAACUAUUAUUAUUAUUAUUAUUACGUUAUUUUUUAAUCACAGAUGCGGAUACCCAGCCGUUAUUGUUCGCCUCUGGCUUCAGUCAUUCACCUUCCCCCGACCGAUUUAUUAUUUGCCAUAUUUGUCACGCACACCCACACACUCUGCUUACGCACACAUUGCCAUCUUGUCAUGUGAUAAUAGUUUUCGGACUCUUCAAGAUGGAAAUGAUAUUUAACGACUUUAUUGCUGCCGGUGGGUGAAAUCAUAAGAUUGAUUCGAGUAAUAGAUAAUAUUUAAAUAUGAUUUUUAAAAGCUUUAAUAAUGCACUAAGGGUACGUUUGGAAUUGAGAUGCUAUAGUUUUUAAAUUACAGUUGUUGUGAAAAAAAAAAGUUGUAAUUAUGAAACAAAAAUUAAUAAUAUAUAAUAAAUAUAAAUUUUAAAUAAUAAUUUUGAUAAAAUUAUUAAAGAUAUAAUAAAUUUUAUAUUAUACAAGUGAAAAAUCAUAUCAACAUAACUUAAAAGUUACAGCAGCGAAUAUUUAUCAAACACUUUAGUACUGUAACUUUUAAGGUACAACUACCCAACCUCAAUCCCAAACACACCCUAAGUGAUCUUGUGGGAUUCAGUGGAACGAACGUGGCGGGUGGAUGAAGUGUCUACGUAAAGCACAAAUCCGGCGAAAUGAUAAAAAAUAAAAACAGAGAAAUUCGUUACAUCUCGUGUUAAGGCGAAUCUUUUUCAAUCCGAUGUGUCACAAAAUCGUCUUUUCUUUUCUUCGGUGGAGAAAUAUUUUGUUCGCUUACCAUCAUUAACAUGCAGACAAACAAUUAAAAGAAAGUUGCUCCAAAUGGUGACAUGAUUACAUAUUUGUAGUUUAUUUUUAAAUUGUUCUGUUGAUUAAAUGGAAGGAGCAAUCAACUCCGCCACCGUUUAUGACCAUACGAACCGUGCGAAGUAUUAUAUUUCCAUGCAUGCUUUGACUAUCUAAUAUAACAACAGCAGCUAAUAGUAUUAAAAAUUUAUGGAUAUUUACAGUAAGAAUCCAUUCAGAUUAACUUAAAUUAACUAUAUUAUAAUAUAGCUUAAAUUUGAUAUAUCUAUGUAUAUGCCUACAUAUACAUACAUUCGCACAUAUGUGUGUGUGUUACUUAUAUUUGUAAGAGAAAUAUUUAUCUUUAUCCUAUAAGAGAAAUAUCCUCAAGGCGUAGUUUUUUAUGUCAUUAGUGAUGGUAGUAAUAUUAAUAUAAAAUUAUAAUUGUUGUCCGCAAUUAUGUAAAGUUAAUGCGGCGACUAAUUAUGCAAAGAGUUGGACUAUUGACACACCUGUAACAUUCUUUUUAAAUUCAUUUUCUCUACGUAUUCUUUUUAAUUAUUAAAAUAACCUUCA